rnacentral:rRNA from 1 species
GACGAACGCUGGCGGCGUGCCUAACACAUGCAAGUCUUGGGAGAAAAGGUAGCAAUAUCUUGAGUACACCGGCGCAAGGGUGAGUAACACGUAGGCAAUCUGCCCGAAGGACGGGAAUAACCUCGAGAAAUCGGAGCUAAUGCCCGAUGAAGUUUCGAUACAGCAUUGCAUCGAAAUCAAAAGCCGAAAGGUGCCUUUGGAUGAACCUGCGUCCCAUUAGGUAGUUGGUGAGGUAACGGCCCACCAAGCCGACGAUGGGUAGCUGGUCUGAGAGGACGAUCAGCCACACUGGAACUGAGACACGGUCCAGACUCCUACGGGAGGCUG